rnacentral:lncRNA from 1 species
CUACUGUGCUGCCAGUCACAUACAAGUAGAGUAAAUACAACUAGUUUUUCAGAAAGUUAACUGUAGAACAGCCUCAAGCAAGUCCUUCAAGAGGUUCCAGAGGAAGAUAUUGUUAUCAUAGACGAUGACAGCUCCAUACAUGCUAUUGCCCCUGAAGUGGGCAAUUGAACCUUCCAGUGUGACAAGAGGUGGCAGUGGAAGACAGUGCUAUUGAGGAUCCUGACCCUACGCAGGCCUAGGCUAAUGGGCUGGAGUACAGUGGCAUUAUCUCAGCUUGCUGCAAG